rnacentral:rRNA from 1 species
GGAGUCUGCAACUCGACUCCAUGAAGCUGGAUUCGCUAGUAAUCGCGCAUCAGCCAUGGCGCGGUGAAUACGUUCCCGGGCCUUGUACACACCGCCCGUCAAGCCAUGGGAGUCGGGAGUGCCUGAAGUUCGUGACCGUCACAGGAGCGACCUAAGGCAAGACCGAUGACUGGGGCUAAGUCGUAACAAGGUACC